UACGAAGGGGGCUAGCGUUGCUCGGAAUCACUGGGCGUAAAGCGUGCGCAGGCGGUUCGUUGUGUCGGCGGUGAAAGCCCCGGGCUUAACCUGGGAAUGGCCGUUGAAACUGGCGAACUGGAGUGUGGCAGAGGGGGGUGGAAUUCCGCGUGUAGCAGUGAAAUGCGUAGAGAUGCGGAGGAACACCGAUGGCGAAGGCAGGUCUCUGGGCUGUAACUGACGCUGAGGAGCGAAAGCAUGGGGAGCGAACAGG
rnacentral:rRNA from 1 species